GCGACAGAGUUUCACGAUCCAUUCUGAAGAACAGGAAGUAAUCAGAACGCUGCGUGAUGGCAUAUCAGCAUCAGCGCUUCCUCCGCGGAAACAAUUUCUCAAUCUUUCCGAUCGAUUGUUUCGACACGAUCAAUCAAAUUUUCCUUCCGAUGAAAGUGGAACCUCGUAACUAAAUACAAGAGCAUGAAUAUGAACUAGUUCGGAAGCCAUUUUCGAAUCCACAUAUAACUUAGUUUCUUCAAAAUGAAAUUGCUAUAUUCCAUUAAUUUAUCCUUUAUUGAGAAUAGUGCAACUUGUGCGAUAACACGGAGACUAUCGGAGUCUCAUUCCGAGUGAAUUGUGAAAGAAUUCGGGAACAAAAUGCAGUGAAUUGAGGAAACCUGGAGGCGAUACGCUUUCACUGUAUAUAAAGUAGGAUUAGGUGUAAUAUAAGCUGACCAACUUGGUAUCAUCAAUUUAAUAUUAGCUCCCCUAUUGCGAUGCGACGUAUGCGUUUAUUGCUUUGACAUAGAAGAACGAGAUGAAGAAAAGAGAGCAUUCGAUACUUCCUGUUCACUGGAGUGAACAUUUUCACAUUCAUGGAUUGUCUACACAUACAAUAAGUACGCAUACUCUGUUUGGAAGAAAUAUGAAGUUCCCCAAACAACACGGUCCAUCCAAAGCACGGCCAAAGCCAUUCGUCUUCGAAGUUCGGCGGCGCGUAUCGAGCGCACACGCACACAGUUAUCGGGUGCGGUGAAACCGAGCAAGCUACUGAAGCUACUAAUCUAUUUUGAGGCGGUGGUGUAACUUCUCGCGUACAGAGCAGCGAGCAAGCACAAACCCAGGGGAGGAGGUGGCUGGCGACAGAUGGCGUUCACCAAGAAUCCUCGGAUUUCCACGAACCGUGAUAUAAUCGGCCGACUCGGCUCGACUAAUGCCAGCCCGCAAAUACAAAGCAGCUGCGUUCACAUGCUCGACUUGCGACACGACGCACAAUACGCUAAUGCGGACUUGGUUGCAUCAACAUGCUCGAACCUCAAGGCGGUCCUCUCCCAAAAAUCGAGCGUUUCAUCGAACGGGAAUAUAUCCGAGAACGCGGUCUGGAACAAUGGCAGUGGACGGUCAGUGGAUUUUAUUGGCCGCAAGAGAAUUAAUGGAGGGCUAAUGAAAUCGGUCACGGUCGGAGGAGCAACGGGAAGGCGCAAAAUUCUCUCUGGCUCACUCGACUCAAAAGAAGAAUCACAGGCGGUCGCAACUUAUUCGAAACUUGCGUCACUCGGAGAGACCAAACUUUUCUCCUUUCAUCCCCCGAAUAGCGUGUAAUAGAAUUCGUUCCACGGAAAUUUCCCGACGCCUGAUUCACUGUGUUAAUGGUUUCACCGAUUAAAUCGUACGAUAGCGCCGCCGUUAAACGAAACACUUAUCGAAUUAUAUUAUACUUCCUCUUUUCAUUAAAAAUGUAUUUGCGUUUCCAGCUAUGAAAAAAAAAACAAAUUUCCCUCUGUUAUACAAUUUCUACAGUCUGAAUGAAUUCCUAGUGAUUGAAUGUUCCCAAGUACAAAGUUUAUUUUAAGACUGCGGAUUUUAUAGGAAAAAUAGUAUGUACAGAAAAUAUAUAAAAAUAGAUUCAAU